CAGCAGCCGCGGGAAUACAGAGGAUGCAAGCGUUAUCCGGAAUGAUUGGGCAUAAAGUGUCUGUAGGUGGCUUUUCAAGUCCGCCGUCAAAUCCCAGGGCUCAACCGUGGACAGGCGGUGGAAACUACCAAGCUGGAGUAUGGUAGGGGCAGAGGGAAUCUCCGGUGGAGCGGUGAAAUGCGUUGAGAUCGGAAGGAACGCCCGUGGCGAAAGCGAGGCCCUGGACCCUUUCUGACGCUGAGACGCGAAAGCCAGGGGAGCGAACGGGAUUAGAUACCCCAGUAGUCCCUGUCUCUUAUAC
rnacentral:rRNA from 1 species